rnacentral:rRNA from 1 species
AAGAUGACGAGGUCGAUAGGUCCGAGGUGGAAGCGUGGCGACACGUGGAGCUGACGGAUACUAAUCGAUCGAGGGCUUGACCUAUAA